rnacentral:lncRNA from 10 species
AGUUCCCGUUCUGCAGCUCCCCGUUCACGUUCUGCAUGGACAGGAUCUCCAACUCGAACUGACCCGAGGCCCCACACACCUGCCGGCGAGGGAAGGAGAAAUCUGAAAAAUCUCAAAAGUACAAUGAAUAAUGAUGCAUGUUCAUACACUCACCAAUCAGAAUUGAAGAUUGUUAAAAUUUUCACCAAUUGAAAUAAAAGAAGUAAAGGAUUACGGCGAAUGAUAAAGUCCUCCACUGGCAGUAUUGUUCUUGCUCCA